UGUAAAGCGAAUCUGUCCAUUCAACUGCUUGGAGUGAACGAUGACUGCGACGGCCUGUUUUAGUCUUUUUGCUUCCAUUAUAGGUUGUACUCUUCAUUUCUCAUGAUGGAUCAAUUAAAUUGAUGAUGCUACUUCAUGUUAAUAAUGUUGGUCUAUAAAGCUGCUGUCAUCAUAUGUGCGGCAGUGCUGCUGAUAAAUGGCGGCCACACCUCCGCCUUCAAGUCGAACUGCCGGCGGGAAGAUUUGGGAGAAAUCUCCCAAGACUGCACUUCACCGCAAUGCCUCGUAGCUCAAACGAAGAUAUAUAUAAAAAAUCCAUUGAAUGCCACGUAUGAUGCCGAAUUCUGCGGAUAUUCCUUCUCCACAAUGAGUGACGCCAGCUCUCUCCCCCACCCGAGCUACGCGCAAAUGGAAGAAAAGUUAAGAAAUUUUCCCCCGUGCACAAAA
rnacentral:lncRNA from 1 species